rnacentral:lncRNA from 10 species
GAUAGGGUCUCACUCUGUCUCUCAGGCUGAAGUGCAGUGGUGCAAUCAUAGCUCAUUGCAGCCUCAACCUCCUGGGCUCAAGUAAUCCUCCCACCUCAGCCUCCUGACAGCUGGGACUACAGGCGGGAGCCACCAUGCUCAGCUAAUUUUUAAAUUUUUUGUAGAGAGAGGGUCUCCCUAGUUUGUCCAGGCUGGUCUCAAACUUCUCAGCCCAAGAUAUCCUCCUACCUCAGCCUCCGAAAGUGCUGGGAUUAUAGGGAUGAGCCACCAUGCCCAGUCUACUUCAGGUUUUUUGAAGAUAUGAGACAUUACACAGUUUAAGCCCCUGUAUAUCCCUCUCCAGACAUAAGCACUACCCUGAAUCUGGUGUACAUUAUUCCUAUGCAUGUUCUUAUUUUAAAAUAUAUAUGUAUAAAUAAAAUGUUGCUGGGUUUUUGUUUUGUUUUUUUU